rnacentral:misc_RNA from 1 species
UUUCCGUAGGUGAACCUGCGGAAGGAUCAUUAAGGAGAGGUGGGAGGUGGUGGUGGGGAGGGCGAGAGUGGAAUUUCUGCUCUCUCCUCCCUCCCACACACGCACACACAUGGACCCGAGAUGUCGGAGGCUGGGGCGGGGUGUGGGGUGGAUGCAGUGCGUGGAUGUGCAGUGCGUGGAUGUGCAGUGCACACUUACACAUUGCACAUCCAUGCAGUGCAUGCACCGCACGUGCCGUCGCGGCAAACAUUCAUGCUUGCUUUUGAAUCUAAAAAUAGAGACAUACAUACAACUUUUAACAAUGGAUCUCUUGGCUCUU